GCACGUUCUCAGGGCGGGGUGUAAUUCCCCACCGGCGGUAAUGGCGUACAAGACGCUAAGCCCGCGAGCGCUUGCCUGUGCAGCAGUUCCUCACGCAUGAGCAAGGUCAGCAGACCUGGUGUGAUUCCAGGGCCGACGGUCAUAGUCCGGAUAAAGAGAGAGCGGGA
rnacentral:ncRNA from 2 species